UAGAAGGGUAGAGGCGCAAUAAUCUAUCAGUACUAAUAAGGAGUUAAGCACAGAGAGUUAUUAGGAAAGGAGAUAUUGCCGAAGUUUUAUAAUCGAUGCUUUAAGAUUAUAUUGCUGGGGGUACAUAGAAAAUAUGUACAACUGUCACAGGUUUAUUUGUGGUGAGCUAUCAUUUAA
rfam:Clostridium difficile 630 complete genome